GUUGGCUUUGUGUGAUGGUGUUUUCGCUUGAGUCUCUUAAAUUGAGACGAGAAUCUGCCGCCUAAUAAGCUACUUAUGGCUGGAAUCGUUGCCUAUUUUUGGGCUACACAAACAAGUAACGCUCACUCGGGU
rfam:Helicobacter sp. MIT 05-5294 CONTIG_483, whole genome shotgun sequence.